rnacentral:rRNA from 1 species
GAUGAACGCUGGCGGCGUGCUUAACGCAUGCAAGUCGAACGGUGAAGCAGGAGCUUGCUCUUGUGGAUCAGUUGCGAACGGGUGAGUAACACGUGAGCAACCUGCCCCUGACUCUGGAAUAAGCGCUGGAAACGGCGUCUAAUACUGGAUAUGUUAUGUGACCGCAUGGUCUGCAUCUGGAAAGAAGUUCGGUUGGGGAUGGGCUUGCUGCCUGUCAGCUUGUUGGUGGGGUAAUGGCUCACCAAGGCGUCGACGGGUAGCCGGCCUGAGAGGGUGACCGGCCACACUGGGACUGAGACACGGCCCAGACUCCUACGGGAGGCAGCAGUGGGGAAUAUUGCACAAUGGACGAAAGUCUGACGCAGCGACUCCGCGUGGAGGAUGACGGCCUUCGGGUUGUAAACUCCUUUUGACCGGGAAGAACGCAAGGGGAACAGUACCGGUAGAAUAAGCAUCUACUAACUACGUGCCAGCCGCCGCCGUAA